rnacentral:rRNA from 1 species
UACGGGGGGGUAAGCGUUGUUCGGAAUUACUGGGCGUAAAGGGCUCGUAGGCGGCCAACUAAGUCGGACGUGAAAUCCCUCAGCUUAACUGGGGAACUGCGUCCGAUACUGGAUGGCUUGGAUUUGGGAGAGGGAUGCGGAAUUCCAGGUGUAGCGGUGAAUGACGUAGAUAUCUGGAGGAACGACCGGUGCGAAGGCGGCAUCCUGGACCAAUAUUGACGCUGA